rnacentral:rRNA from 1 species
AUUGAACGCUGGCGGCAGACCUAACACAUGCAAGUCGAACGAGUGGCGGACGGGUGAGUAAUGUCUGGGAAACUGCCUGAUGGAGGGGGAUAACUACUGGAAAAGGUAGCUAAUACCGCCUACCAUCGGAUGUGCACAGAUGGGAUUAGCUCGUAGGUGGGGUAAAGGCUCACCUAGGCGAAGAUCCCUAGCUGGUCUGAGAGGAUUACCAUCCACACUGGAACUGGGACCCGGUCCAGUCUCCUACGGGAGGCAGCAGUGGGGAGUGUUGUCCAAUGGGCGCAGGCCUGAUGCAGCCAUGCCGCGUGUAUGAAGAAGGCCUUCGGGUUGUAAAGUACUUUCAGCGGGGAGUCGUUACCCGCAGAAGAAGCACCGGCUAACUCCGUGCCAGCCGCCGCGGUAAUUC